rnacentral:misc_RNA from 1 species
AGAAAAUAUAAUCAUAUAUAUCACCACAAGAUAAUGAUUCAGUUUGAACAGUGGGGUUGAUCAUCAAACAAGAAGCAAAAUUCAAACAUAAAAUCAAAUAAAUGAACCUAGGAUUGUUGAUUUAUGAAGGAAACAAUCUGCUCUGUUAAUCUCUUAGCUCUAUCACAGUAGGGGUUAAACAAAUGAAACCCAUGGUCCUCUCCUUCAGUCUCCACAAUCUCCACAACUCCACCCCACCCACUGUUCUUCACUGCCUCAUAGUAACUCACUCCCCUAUCCUUAUACUUCUGAUCUGCUCCAGCAACACAUACAAGAAUCUUGCUUAGAAACCCCAGCUUCCUCAGAUCCACCCCAGCACCAACUGGGUUGAUUCUGGGGUCACUUGUCCCUUCCAAUGUUGGGAACAAGAAUUCCAACAGUUUGCUUCUUUGAUCAUCACUUUUGCCAAAAAAGGGAUGAACCAAAACCAUUCCAGCAAUUUUAACCCCAAGUAGCCCUUCAUCAAGCCCAAAUCUAAUUCCCACAUUGUGUGUAAUAUUAGCACCAGCACUGUCACCCACUAAGAACAUCUUCUCAAAAUCUGCGUGCUGAUUAAUCCAAGUUUCAGGACCAUCUCUAUUCACAUGAGAAGCUACCCAUUUAACUGCAUCACAAGCAUCAUCAUAUGCAAUAGGGAGAGGGUGUUCUGGGGCUUUUCUGUAAGGAAUCACUACCACUAGUACGUUACCAUUUUUUGCCAAGGAAGCCAGAUGGCCAUAGUAAGUAGGAGAGAAAGGAGUCUGAACACAAAAUGCUCCACCAUGGAUGUAUAUAAUGAGAGGGAGUUUUUGAUUCUGGUUAGUGGAUAUGGGGAGGAAGAGACGACCAGAGAGGGUAUGUUCUUGGAAGAAAAGGGUAUCUUUGGUUUGGACUCCAGCUUCAUGGUCGAUGGAGGGUGGCAUUAUUUCUGUGCCGUGUAGUCUUUCCACUCGACCAUCUUCGUAUACACGGAUAAAUGGGGAGAAGUCAUGGGCUACUUCCAUGGGGUUCGGCUCCAUUGGUUAUUGUGGCUACAAGAUCUAGCUAGAAAGAAAACCAGAAAGUUUAUCCUGGUGAAGUGGUGGGCUG